UCCGGUUUGGCACCGGCAGUCUUCCUAGAGUCCCCGCCAUUACGUGCUGGCAACUAAGGGCAAGGGUUGCGCUCGUUACGGGACUUAACCCAACAUCUCACGACACGAGCUGACGACAGCCAUGCAGCACCUGUCUCAGAGCUCCCGAAGGCACUAAGCCAUCUCUGGCAAAUUCUCUGGAUGUCAAGACCUGGUAAGGUUCUUCGCGUUGCGUCGAAUUAAACCACAUGCUCCACCGCUUGUGCGGGCCCCCGCCUAUUCCUUUGAGUUUUAACCUUGCGGCCGUAGUCCCCAGGCGGUGAACUUAAUGCGUUAGCUGCGGCACUGAUCGGGUCAAUCCGACCAACACCUAGUUCACAACGUUUAGGGCGUGGACUAC
rnacentral:misc_RNA from 1 species